UACAGAGGGUGCGAGCGUUAAUCGGAAUUACUGGGCGUAAAGCGUGCGUAGACGGUUAUCUAAGUCGGAUGUGAAAGCCCCGGGCUCAACCUGGGAAUUGCAUUCGAGACUGAAUAGCUAGGGUGCGGUAGAGGGAAGCGGAAUUUCCGGUGUAGCGGUGAAAUGCGUAGAUAUCUGGAGGAACACCGGUGGCGAAGGCGGCAUCCUGGACCGACACUGACGCUGAGGAGCGAAAGCCAGGGGAGCAAACGGG
rnacentral:rRNA from 1 species